rnacentral:rRNA from 1 species
GAUGAACGCUGGCGGCGUGCCUAAUACAUGCAAGUCGAGCGAACGGACGAGAAGCUUGCUUCUCUGAUGUUAGCGGCGGACGGGUGAGUAACACGUGGAUAACCUACCUAUAAGACUGGGAUAACUUCGGGAAACCGGAGCUAAUACCGGAUAAUAUUUUGAACCGCAUGGUUCAAAAGUGAAAGACGGUCUUGCUGUCACUUAUAGAUGGAUCCGCGCUGCAUUAGCUAGUUGGUAAGGUAACGGCUUACCAAGGCAACGAUGCAUAGCCGACCUGAGAGGUUGAUCGGCCACACUGGAACUGAGACACGGUCCAGACUCCUACGGGAGGCAGCAGUAGGGAAUCUUCCGCAAUGGGCGAAAGCCUGACGGAGCAACGCCGCGUGAGUGAUGAAGGUCUUCGGAUCGUAAAACUCUGUUAUUAGGGAAGAACAUAUGUGUAAGUAACUGUGCACAUCUUGACGGUACCUAAUCAGAAAGCUACGGCUAACUACGUG